UUAUCGGGUGUUCAUUUUAUUUCUUGUAUUAACAGAUGAAUAAAGAAUGAAAGAAUAUUAUACAUUUCAUGGGAGAGGGAUACAUUUGUUAUGAAUGGGGGUUGUCAUGGCAAUCAAACAAUAUAUGCCUCAUACAUCAUACAAGUAGGCAACAGUUAAUCAAACAAGUAAGAUAUAAACAAGUAUAUAAUCAAAUCAAAUAAUCAAAGAAUGAAAUAAUGAAACAAUAAACAAUGUACGAGUGUAAGUGCAAGGGAACCGGCUCAUUGUAAGAAAGCCCAAGAGUAAGCUAUGUGAGGUUGAUGGCGAUGCUUAAAAAGCAAUCGACUUACAAGGGUGUAAAAAAUGGGCUCGAUAUUAAAUCGAGAAAAGUAUGAUUUUUAUAGUUUGAAAAAAUGGUUUUUGAACUAAAUUCAAAUACAAUAACUAUGCAUUAUUAACAAAUGAAAUUAUAAUAAACAUAAAAGAAAAGAUAUUAACAAAAUACCAAAAGAAUAAAAAAUGCUAAAGGAAAAUAAAAUCAAAUAAAAAGCAAAAAGUACCACACAUGAGUAUUGAACCCUCCCCACCUAAUAUUAUGCAACUGCCCUCUCUCCACUAGGCCACUCAACACUAUCUGCUAUUGAGGUACUACCAUAAAUAUAUGAACUGGGCUAACAAAUUUAAAAUAAAUAAAAAAAACAAAACAAACAUUUUUAUGUUUUUUAUUAUCUCUGUUAAAAAAGAAAAUUAAGUUAAAUAAAACAAAAAGAAUUAAUUAAAAAAGGAAAACAGAAAAAAAAGAAAAAAUGGAAACGGGGAAGAGAACACAGAGGUUCGUCUUCCCCAUCGCCCUCGCCUUCCUCAACCUUUGCUCACCUCUCGCAACCUCUCAUUCGCUCGCAGAAUCGCUAUCCCUCCACCUUACCCAACCGUCUCUCAAACACGUCCAACCCUCUCUCUAUCAAAUUUGCUCAAACGAAAAAAUCUCCCUCUGCUCUUAAAAUCGCUCGCAUCUAUCUCUCAAACCUCUCUCUCAUCACGACCUCACUGAAUCCCUCUCAAACAAACAAGAAAAACAAAGACUGUUACAAAACAGGAAGCUCACCCUCGGACCUUU
rnacentral:lncRNA from 1 species